CGCCGUGGAUCCCCGCCCAGAGUCCCUGCCACCCUGGAAAGCCUAGUGCCCCCAGCCCCCAGCGGGCCGUUUUCUGAGACGCCCGGUGGCCGCGGCCCCCACCCCACGUACCCCCACCCGCAGGCGUGAACAUCGGGGGCGCGGGCUCCUACAUCUACGAGAAGCCCCUGGCGGAGGGGCCGCAGGUCACCGGCCCCAUCGAGGUCCCCGCGGCCCGAGCAGAGGAGCGGAAGGCGAGCGGCCCCCCGAAGGGGCCCAGCAGAGCCUCCAGUGUCACCACUUUCACCGGGGAGCCCAACACGUGCCCGCGCUGCAGCAAGAAGGUGUACUUCGGUGAGUGCGCGCCCGGGCCCCGGACCCCCGCCCCCGCCCCUGCCCCGGGGCUCGGCCUCACUCCUCCCCCUUUCCAGCUGAGAAGGUGACGUCUCUGGGCAAGGAUUGGCACCGGCCCUGCCUGCGCUGCGAGCGCUGCGGGAAGACACUGACCCCCGGCGGGCACGCGGAGGUGAGGGGAGUGCAACGGGGCUUGGGGCCGGGCAGGGGCGCGGGGUGGGGGCGAUGAGGGUGAGAGGCGCGCC
rnacentral:sRNA from 1 species